CUCAGACAGCCAGGAGGUUGGCUCAGAAGCAGCCACCCUUUAAAGAUAGCGUAACAGCUCACUGGUCGACUGAGAAGAAGCGCCUAAGAUUUAUCGAGGAUCAAAUGUAGUGCCGAAGCUAGAGAUGUCCUACUUUUAGUAGGGCGUGGUAGGGGAGCGUCCCAUAUGCAGUGAAGGCAAAUUGUAAGAUUUGUUGGAGUGUAUGGGAGUGAGAAUGCAGGCAUGAGUAGCGCACUAGACGGGUGAAAAUCCCGUCCGCCGAAUACCCAAGGUUUCCGUCGCAAGGUUCGUCCUCGACGGGUUAAUCGGUUCCUAAGGUGAGGUCAGUUUAACUGGCGUAGCCGAAGGACAAGUAGUUAAAAUUCUACUAUUUUUUGUAAGUCGUUAUUAAUUGGGGGUUCCCAAACAGGAAUACUGUAGCCUUCAUGUGAUGAGGGUUUAAACUGUGAAAUAGUUCUGAAUAGAAAAUCUAUCAGAAUGUUUAAUUGAGCAGUAAUGUAAAUUUCGCCGUGAGGUGAGAAAUUACAAAUAUUUCAGUUUGCAAGAAAACACUCGCAAUGAGACUUAUAAGAAGCCGUACCGCAAUCCGACACAGGUGGGUUGGUAGAGAAUACUAAGGCGAUCGAGAGAAGAAUCCUCAAGGAACUCGGCAAAAAAACUACCCGUAACUUCGGGAGAUGGGUUCCCUAACUUUUAGUUAGGGGCCACCAAAAGUUUGCUGACCGACUGUUUAUCAAAAACACAGGUCUGUGCGAAGUCGAAAGACGAAGUAUACAGGCCGACGCCUGUCCAGUGCCGGUAAGUUAAAGAGAGGAGUGGUACGAAUUUAUUCGUACUGCUUUGACCUAAAGCUCCGGUGAAACGACAGCAGUAACUAUAGACACAGUUGUAGUUAGUAGGUUUUAACUCCUACCGUCUAAGGAAGACGAAAAGUUGACCAUAUGCUGGAAACACUCAAGUAUCUGACAGUACCGAAAGGUAAAAAUCUGUUCAGUGGAGUCAAUCAGCAGGAAAGAUUCUAAAUUUAUUUAGAAUAUCCUCAGAGACUAUACGUCAACUGCUAAAUUUGUGCUAACAAUUUAGUAAUGAUAUAGUCCGAUCUCAUAAGCGAUUAUGAGUCUACGUAAAUUUAUGAAAAUCGUAGCAAGUAACAUCAUAAACUGUUCUAAGGUAACUUAAUAGCUGCCUUAGUAAAAUCUAGCUAUAUGCUGGAACAUCUCGUUAAACUAAGUCUACUAUGGUAAAAUCUAUCCUUAGAUUAUGGCAAGUAAAAAUGAUUUAGGUAGAGAAAAUCAGCAGGAAAGGCUUAAAACAAUCGGAUGGAUUGUUGGAUUUGUAGAUGGAGAAGGAUGUUUUUCAGUAUCAGUUUUUAAGAAUAAAACUACGAAAAAUGGAUGGCAAAUUUUUCCGGAAUUUGUUGUAACACAAAGUGAGAGAAGUAUAUCAACUCUUCAAGAAAUUAAAAAAUUUUUUGGAUGUGGAAAUAUAUUUGUAAAUCACCGUUACGACAACCAUAACGAAAAUUUGUACCGUUAUUGCGUUAGAAAUAUUCAUGAUCUGAAAGAUAAAAUUAUCCCAUUUUUUGAAUCAAACAACCUGAGAUCUGCAAAGAUAAAGGACCUUAAUAUCUUUAAAGAAGUAGUAUUACUUAUGAUAAAUAAGAAACAUCUACAAAAAGAAGGUUUUGAUAAAAUACUAUCAAUUGCAGGUAAAAGAAAGAUUUAAGAAUCCCCAGAGACUAUACGCUAGAACAAUUCUAUUUUUAUAGAUGCGUAAGAUAUAGUCCCAACUGCAUGGAGACAUGCAGAAACAUUGAUAACUUACAUAUUAAAACAAUGUUUAUAAUUCUAAUAUUUAUUUAUUGGAACGAAGAUUUCGAGCGAAGUUCCUUGCCAGGUAAGUUCUGGCCCGCACGAAUGGCGUCACGAGUUAGCAACUGUCUUGAGGUUUCACUCGGCGAAAUUGCGUUGGCUGUGAAGACGCGGCCUAAUCCCACUUGGACAAAAAGACCCCGUGGAGCUUUACUGUAGUUUGGCAUUGCCUUAACAAUUUUUGAUUGUCUAGUAUAGGAGGGAGUUUUACGACAACAGUGUAAUACCUCUCGUUGGAGAUUGUUGGGCUUACUUAAUUCGCCUGAAGACGGCGAAGGGAAAAGUGCUAGAUGGGCAGUUUUACUGGGGCGGUACCCUGCCAAAGAGUAACGCAGGGGCACAAAGGUUAGCUUGUUACGGAUGGAAACCGUAAUUAAACUGCAAAGAGAUAAGCUAGCUUGACUGCAACACCGAAGGGUGGAGCAGGUACGAAAGUAGGUCUUAGUGAUCCCCCGAUCCUUCAUGGGAGGGACGGGGCUUAACUGAUAAAAGCUACCCCGGGGAUAACAGAGUAGUCGCGCCCGAGAGUCCAUAUCGACGGCGCGGUUCGCUACCUCGAUGUCGGCUCAUGAUAUCCUAGGGCUGAAGAAGGUCCUAAGGGUUGGUCUGUUCGCCCAUUAAAAUCAUACGCGAGCUGGGUUCAGAACGUAAACAACAUUGCGUUCUACACUAGUAAUAGUGUAAUAUUAAAUAUCGACUAAAAUCGGUGAAACCCCAAGGAAAUUAUUUAAUUUUCUGGGUAAUACCGAGGGUAAGUCAAAAGAAUUAUGUUGAAGAAAGAAGAAUUAGCAUAUAUUGCAGGUUUUCUUGAUGGAGAUGGAUGCAUAAUGCUCCAAUUGGUAUACAGGCACGAUUAUGUGCUUGGAUAUCAAAUUAGAGCAAGCAUUGUUUUUUAUCAAAAGACGCAAUAUA
rnacentral:rRNA from 1 species